CUCUUUCACUGCUAAUCUGCGGUUGGCAUGAGCUCAGCUGGCAGUCUGCUGUGGGGAUUACGACGCGUGUGCCUACUGAAGUAUUGCUGGUGGCGUGCAUAGCCUACAUUUGUCGGCCUUGUGGUUAACUUCUCAUGUGCCUGGUCAGGCAAGCAAAGUCUCCUCGAUGCGCUGAACUCAACUGGAACCCGACGUGACUCGUAUCCCCGCUUGUUUGCUGUAGCCAUCCGAACAGGAGGAACUCAUGCCAUCGUCAACACUGGUACAGCACCACUAGAGGCGGGACACCACUGUUUUCUUUCCAAGUUGUUUUCUUCUAUUUGCUUUGUGAUAUUUGCACAAUAACCACACUGCAUUGGAAACUGUGUACUGCAGUGGCUAUAUUGGGGACGUGUGCAGUUAUUAGUAUUAAACCAUUACUCUCAAUGUAUUAAACCCAAGACCAGUAUUGUCAACCUCUUGAAUGGUACCUGGUUGCUGUAGUGGGAGACCAAAGGUGGCGUAAUCUAGUACAAGUGUGUGUG